UAAAGUUUUGUCUAAAGUGGCCUUACUGA
rnacentral:piRNA from 1 species